rnacentral:rRNA from 1 species
UAGUCGUUGGGUCCUUGAGGACUUAGUGACGCAGCUAACGCAAUAAGUAGACCGCCUGGGGAGUACGGCCGCAAGGUUAAAACUCAAAUGAAUUGACGGGGGCCCGCACAAGCGGUGGAGCAUGUGGUUUAAUUCGAUGCAACGCGAAGAACCUUACCUGGUCUUGACAUAUCUAGAAUCCUGCAGAGAUGCGGGAGUGCCUUCGGGAAUUAGAAUACAGGUGCUGCAUGGCUGUCGUCAGCUCGUGUCGUGAGAUGUUGGGUUAAGUCCCGCAACGAGCGCAACCCUUGUCCUUAGUUACCAGCGGGUUAAGCCGGGAACUCUAAGGAUACUGCCAGUGACAAACUGGAGGAAGGCGGGGACGACGUCAAGUCAUCAUGGCCCUUACGACCAGGGCUACACACGUGCUACAAUGGUAGGUACAGAGGGCAGCUACACAGCGAUGUGAUGCGAAUCUCAAAAAGCCUAUCGUAGUCCAGAUUGGAGUCUGCAACUCGACUCCAUGAAGUAGGAAUCGCUAGUAAUCGCGGAUCAGAAUGCCGCGGUGAAUACGUUCCCGGGCCUUGUACACUCCGCC